UUUUUCCUACGGGAGGCAGCAGUGAGGAAUAUUGGUCAAUGGGCGGAAGCCUGAACCAGCCAAGUCGCGUGAGGGAAUAAGGCCCUACGGGUCGUAAACCUCUUUUGUCAGGGAGCAACGCCGGCUACGUGUAGCCGGACUGAGAGUACCUGAAGAAAAAGCAUCGGCUAACUCCGUGCCAGCAGCCGCGGUAAUACGGAGGAUGCGAGCGUUAUCCGGAUUUAUUGGGUUUAAAGGGUGCGUAGGCGGAAUGCCAAGUCAGCGGUAAAAUCGCGGGGCUCAACCUCGCUCCGCCGUUGAAACUG
rnacentral:rRNA from 1 species